GUGAGGAAUAUUGCGCAAUGGACGAAAGUCUGACGCAGCCAUGCCGCGUGAAGGAUUGACGGCCCUAUGGGUUGUAAACUUCUUUUGUAUAGGAAUAAACCCUCGUUCGUGAACGAGGCUGAAGGUACUAUAAGAAUAAGCACCGGCUAACUCCGUGCCAGCAGCCGCGGUAAUACGGAGGGUGCAAGCGUUAUCCGGAUUUAUUGGGUUUAAAGGGUCCGUAGGCGGAUCGUUAAGUCAGUGGUGAAAUCCUACCGCUCAACGGUAGAACUGCCAUUGAUACUGGCGAUCUUGAGUAUGUAUGAAGUUGGCGGAAUGUGUGGUGUAGCGGUGAAAUGCUUAGAUAUCACACAGAACACCGAUUGCGAAGGCAGCUGACUAAUACACAACUGACGCUGAGGGACGAAAGUGUGGGGAUCAAACAGGAUUAGAUACCCCGGUAGUCC
rnacentral:rRNA from 1 species